rnacentral:rRNA from 1 species
AUUGAACGCUGGCGGCAGGCCUAACACAUGCAAGUCGAGCGGAUGAAGGGAGCUUGCUCCUGGAUUCAGCGGCGGACGGGUGAGUAAUGCCUAGGAAUCUGCCUGGUAGUGGGGGAUAACGUCCGGAAACGGGCGCUAAUACCGCAUACGUCCGGAGGGAGAAAGUGGGGGAUCUUCGGACCUCACGCUAUCAGAUGACCCUAGGUCGGAUUAGCUAGUUGGUGGGGUAAAGGCCUACCAAGGCGACGAUCCGUAACUGGCCUGAGAGGAUGAUCAGUCACACUGGAACUGAGACACGGUCCAGACUCCUACGGGAGGCAGCAGUGGGGAAUAUUGGACAAUGGGCGAAAGCCUGAUCCAGCCAUGCCGCGUGUGUGAAGAAGGUCUUCGGAUUGUAAAGCACUUUAAGUUGGGAGGAAGGGCAGUAAGUUAAUACCUUGCUGUUUUGACGUUACCAACAGAAUAAGCACCGGCUAACUUCGUG